rnacentral:ncRNA from 2 species
UCAAUAUCGUGUUGCUUUGGUUCUUUCGAGGCGACUCGCAAGCGAAGAGGGAAACUGGUGAAAAUCCGGUGCUGCCCCCGCAACUGUAAGCGGCAAGCCCUGCCCGUGCCACUGACGCAUCGCUGCGUUGGGAAGGCGGGAGGGGGCGUUUGAGCCGCGAAGCCAGGAGACCUGCCAGAGCACGACACACGAC